ensembl:snRNA U6 U6 spliceosomal RNA
CUGCUUGCUUCAACAGCAUAUACUCUAAAAUUGAAAUGGUACAGAGAUCAGCAUGGCCCCUACACAAGGAUGACAAGCCAAUUCAUGAAGUGUACCAUAUUUUG